UACGUAGGGUGCGAGCGUUAAUCGGAAUUACUGGGCGUAAAGCGUGCGCAGGCGGUUUCGUAAGACAGCUGUGAAAUCCCCGGGCUUAACCUGGGAACUGCGGUUGUGACUGCGAGACUAGAGUCAGGCAGAGGGGGGUGGAAUUCCACGUGUAGCAGUGAAAUGCGUAGAGAUGUGGAGGAACACCGAUGGCGAAGGCAGCCCCCUGGGCUAUGACUGACGCUCAUGCACGAAAGCGUGGGGAGCAAAC
rnacentral:rRNA from 1 species